rnacentral:rRNA from 1 species
UCAAAGAUUAAGCCAUGCAUGUCUCAGUAUAAGCAACUUGUACGUGUGAAACUGCGAAUGGCUCAUUAAAUCAGUUAUAAUUUAUUUGAUAGUGGUUUUACUACAUGGAUAGCCGUAGUAAUUCUAGAGCUAAUACAUGCAUAGAGGCCCGACUCGUGAGGGAAGGGUUGUAUUUAUUAGAUCGAAAACCAACGCAGGGGCUGGGAGAGUAAAAUCUUUCAGUCCUGAAUAUAUGGUGAGUCAUGAUAAAUGUCGAAUCGAAUUUUAUUCGAUGUGUCAUUCAAAUUUCUGCCCUAUCAACUUGUUGGUAGGAUAGAGGCCUACCAUGGUUUUGACGGGUAACGGAGGAUUAGGGUUCGAUUCCGGAGAGGGAGCCUGAGAAAUGGCUACCACUUCUAAGGAAGGCAGCAGGCGCGCAAAUUACCCAAUCCCAAUCCUAUUGGGGAGGUAGUGACAAAAAAUACCGAUGCUGGGUCUUCGGAUUCAGUAAUUGGAAUGGUUUGGAAGCAAAUCGUCCAUAGAGCAGCCAUUAGAGGGCAAGUCUGGUGCCAGCAGCCGCGGUAAUUCCAGCUCUAAUAGUGUAUACUAAAAUUGCUGCAGUUAAAAAGCUCGUAGUUGGAUUUUGGAUGGAACAAGAUACCUUUAUGUUUUUGCCGUGUGUGUUGUUGUGUGGCGUACCUGUUUCUAGAGGUCGUGCAUGACACUUGCAUGGUCGUAAAGGUUGUUCCGUCCCUGUCGAAAGACAUUUUUUUCGGAAGUAUUUCGUCCCCUUAACUGGUGGAAGGAGUGUUUUCGGAGGGUUUACUUUGAAGAAAUUGUAGUGUUUAAAGCAGGCGUUUCGCAGCUGAACACAUUAGCAUGGAAUAAUAAAAUAGGACAUCUGAGUUAGGUACUUGUUCAUUCUCCGCUGUUAAUCUUCCAAGGGCGUUCCUGGGAGUUGGAGGGGUAGUGCGUGCUUCUGUGCGUGCUGUCUUUUUGCUUCCAGCUUGAGCGUUCUUGAGGUUGGCAGUUUUUCAAAGGAGGGUGGGAGAGAGGCUUAGCUAUCGUUAGUAUAUCUAUUUUGUUGGUUUAUGGAGAAGGUGUAAUGAUUAAUAGGGACAGUUGGAGGCAUCCGUAUUGCAUUGUCAGAGGUGAAAUUCUUGGAUUUAUGCAAGACGAACUAGUGCGAAAGCAUUUGCCAAGGAUGUUUUCAUUAAUCAAGAACGAAAGUUAGGGGAUCGAAGGCGAUCAGAAACCGCCGUAGUCUUAACUAUAAACUAUACCAACUAGGGAUUGGAGAGUGUCUUUUAAUGGCCUCGUCAGCACCUUUAGAGAAAUCAAAGUCUCUGGGUUCUGGGGGGAGUAUGGUCGCAAGGCUGAAACUUAAAGAAAUUGGCGGAAGGGCACCACCAGGUGUGGAGCCUGCGGCUUAAUUCGACUCAACACGGGGAAACUCACCAGGUCCAGACACGGGAAGGAUUGACAGAUUGAUAGCUUUUUCUUGAUUCUGUGGGUGGUGGUGCAUGGUCGUUCUUAGUUGGUGGAGUGAUUUGUCUGGUUAAUUCCGAUAACGAACGAGACCUUAACCUGCUAAAUAGCCCAGUCUCAAAAUUCUGUUUUGAGAUAAACGGCGUUUUUGUUUCUUUCGGGGGACAUUGCGUCGAGGGCUUCUUAGAGGGACUACCAUGGUUGCACAUGGUGGAAGCUUGAGGCAAUAACAGGUCUGUGAUGCCCUUAGAUGUCCUGGGCCGCACGCGCGCUACAAUGAUGCAAUCAACAAGGUUGUGCUUGCCCGAAAGGGUCGGCUAAUCUUUUCAGCCUGCAUCGUACUGGGGAUUGAUCUUUGCAAUUUUGGAUCAUGAACUAGGAAUACCUAGUAAGUGCAUGUCAUCAGCAUGCGCUGAUUACGUCCCUGCCCUUUGCACACACCGCCCGUCGCUCCUACCGAUUGAAUGAUCAGAUGAAAUGCUUGGAUGCGUGGUGCGCGAUCUCUUCCAAGGGGUUGUGUGCUGUGCAGAAGAGUAGUAAAUCUUAUUAUUUAGA